GGAAGCGUGGCAGAGAGGCCGAAUGCACUCGCCUUGAAAGCGAGAGUCCCGCAAGGGUCCGGGGGUUCGAAUCCCUCCGCUUCCGCCA
rnacentral:tRNA from 2 species